ACAUCCGGGGCUCCGCGGGCGCUGUUGCCCGGGUAAUGGGCUGGCUGCGGCCGGAUCGCCGAGGGGCGUGCGCCCGGCUCCUGAUGCACCUGCGGGAUCCGGGAGCUUGCGGAAGGGCGCGCGGGCCCGGGCUUGAGUGGUCGGAGGUCUCCCGGAGCCCUCAGCAUCCCUUGCUUCUCACUCACGCACCCCAGCUUCACGCGUUAGGCGUCCCCCCAGCAGACGAAGCAAAAGAUACACCAUCAAGUCCUAGAAGGAUUAUACCACUUUCUUUUCCGCCCUGAAGAGACUUGGAAAUUAACGGGUAACAUUUUGCAUGAAAAUUGCUGAACGCUUUUCCUUCUUAUCUCGGCGGCCUUCUGCGGAGAAUUAAUAGGAGGUUGAAUGCGCGCAUGGAUAAAAUGGAUCAUCUUAAAGGAUUGAAGUUCCAAAAAUAUAUCAGCAGGACUGGACAGGUUUGACAUAAUGAGAUUUCUAUUUUAGCUUGACUUCUGGAACACUGAAUAAACUAUAAACUGAGCUGCGCACGUCCUGGGAAGGAAGUUUCUCUUCUACGAUAUUCUAGCUGCGUAUAACUGCGUACAACAUUUUUCUUAUUCAGACCCUUUGAAAAAAGAUAUUUACUUAUCAAUUUCCCGAAAAAUAGGACUAAUAGACACUUACCAACUUUUAAUAUAUGAAGCAGGACAGAAAGCUACAAUUUGUAUCAUUUUGGAAAAGAAAUCUAAAGAAACAGCCACCAGAAAGACAAGCAAUCUCUACGUAAGCACUGGUGGAGAUGGCAGAGGCUUCUGAGGAUGCCUCAGCUCUGCCUAUGACAGUGAAGAAAAAGAAAAGUUUAUCCAUUGAAGAAAAGAUCGACAUCAUAAAUGCAGUAGAAAGUGGCAAGAAAAAGGCAGAAAUUGCAGCUGAAUAUGGAAUAAAGAAAAAUUCCUUGUCUUCUAUUAUGAAGAAUAAAGACAAAGUUCUAGAAGCCUUUGAAUCUCUGAGAUUUGAUCCGAAGAGAAAAAGACUGAGAACUGCUUUUUACACAGAUCUAGAAGAGGCAUUAAUGAGGUGGUAUCGAAUUGCUCAGUGUCUAAAUGUACCAGUUAAUGGUCCAAUGUUGCGUCUCAAAGCUAAUGAUUUUGCCCAGAAACUGGGACAUAAUGACUUUAAGUGCAGCAAUGGUUGGCUGGAUCGCUUUAAAUCCAGGUAUGGCUUAGUAUUCAGAGCUCAACCUGUAGAAGCUACAGCUGUGUCAGUAGACCCUUCUGCCGUCUGGCACCAAAAUGUACUUCCUUAUUAUUUAAAUGAUUAUCACCCUAAAAAUGUUUUUAAUAUAAAAGAGACUGGGCUGCUUUAUCGAAUGUUACCUACAAAUACAUUUGCAUUUAAAGGAGAAACAUGCUCCAUCGGACAGUUAUGCAAAGACAGAAUAACUCUGGUGGUUGGGACAAACAUGGAUGGCUCAGAGAAACUUCCUUUGCUUGUCAUUGGAAAAAACAAAACUCCACAUUGUUUCAAAGGUAUUAAAUCAUUGCCUGUGUGCUAUGAAGCUAACAGAAUGGCGUGGAUGACCUCAGAUGUAUUUGAACGAUGGAUGCGGAAGCUUGAUGAGAAGUUUCAAGCCCAGCAACGAAAAGUGGUGAUUUUUGUUGAUUCUUUUCCUUCACAUCCAGAGGUAAAGAACCUAAAGUCCAUUGAGUUAGCGUUCUUUCCAUCAUGUUUAUCUUCCAAAUUUAUAGCUAUGAAACAAGGUGUUAUUAAAAGCCUUAAAAUCAAAUACCGACAUUGCCUUAUCAAGAAAUUCUUAAGCUCUGUUGAAGGCAGCAAAGAAUUUACAUUUUCCCUACUAGAUGCAGUUGAUACUUUGCACCUUUGUUGGAGGGCUGUAACCUCAGAGACUAUUGUCAAGAGCUAUGAAGAGGCAGGAUUCAAAUCUCAAAAGGAAGAAAGUGACAGGACAAAUGCAGAGACAGACACUAGUCUUGAUUUGGUUGCCCAUGCUCAGGCAGCAGGCGUGGAAUUUCCUGAAGGCUUAUCUAUAGAAGAGUAUGCUGCCCUCGAUGAUGAUUUGGAAACUUGUGAAGCUGCACCAAAAGGUGAUUCAGAAUGGCCCGAAGAAAAUAAAUCUGAGGAAACCGGAUUUUAUACUUCUGAUGAAGAGGAUGAUGGUGGAUCUCUAGGCACUGAACUCCCAUUACCAUCAAAAACGGAGGCAAUAACUGCUUUGGAAACUCUUAAAAAUUUUCUUAGAAGUCAAGAUAUGAGUGAUGAGCUUCAUAACUCUUUAGCAGACCUUGAAAUUUUUAUUAACUCAUCAUCUAAGUAAUUAUUUGUGGUACAACAAAUGAAGAGUAAUAGCUUUUCUUAAUGUAUUUUAUUAUAUAAGAACAGACAGUCAUGGCAUACCUCACUCCUGAUUUAUCAUCUCCAUACACAGUUAAUGCAAAGUUCAGACUAAAUGUCACUUGUCUUUUCGGAAAAGAACUUCACUUAAUUCACCUGCUUUUCAGUUAGUGUAGUACCAAGAUAUGCUAUUCUAUACAACAGACGGUUCAGGAGUCAAGAAGGAAGAGUAAAAAGUAUGUUUUAGCAUAGAAAACAAUUCCGCUUUCCCUGUGGUAGUAAGACCUCUACCUGGGAAGACCUGAGACUGAGAAGUCUGCUCUGGCUUGAACUGCUGACUUCCAAAUCAACCUCUCCUGCCCUGACACAAGAGCCAGGACUACUUGUGUAUUUGGCAGCAGCUGCGGAACCAGGGAGCACUGGACCCUUGACGUUCUUGAGGCAAACGAUCAUUUUGAUCAUUUGCUCACAUGUUGUCACUCGGUCAACAAAUACCUGUGGCUGCUGAGAAGAUGCAGCUCAAUACACCGAGUCUUCCUAUCACUCAGCAAGAAUGCCUGGUGGGACUUGGAAAACCUUUUUGUGAGGAUCACAGCCAGGUAGAGGGGCAGUUCCCUGGGUGGAACUGCUUGUGCAGGAACAAGGUUUACCAAGCAUCUACAAAGACAAUUCUCUCUCUCUCUGUUCCUUUUUAAGAAAGGAAAUGGAGUCCUUGGACCAGUUUUCCAACGCCUUUGGAAGCUCUGAGUAUUUGUUUUUCUUAAACAUAUUCUUUGGAGAAGCCUGGAGAGGAAAGAAAAGUGGUCCAAGUGCACACAGAUGGUAAACCCACAGCUCCCAUCAACAGCAGCAAGAAAUCAUCUGGACUCAAGCAGGCCACCUCUGAGAUAGGAAAUGAAGCCUCGUGAGAAUGAAGAAUAUAAGCUGAGUCAGAAUGAUAGGCUGCUCCCAGGAGACCCACAAAACGGCACUAAGUCCUGUCUUUCCCCAAGAGGAACAUUUACAAAAUGGCAGCAAAGUAGAUAUUGAGCUGGACAAUCAAUCAAGUCACGGGAUAUGUUGUUCUGAUUUUCUGCACUUUUCCUCACUGGACCAUAAAGUCAUGAAUGGACAUUGUUUAGAAAGAACUGCAGGAGAAUAUAAGUGAAAAUUCACCCACUCUUGAGAUAGAGAAAUUCUUUCUAAAUAUGUCAUUAAAAUAGAACAUAAGGAAAAAGAUCAGUGAUUUGACACAGUAAAAACUAAAAAAUGUCUGUGUAUAUUUUUAAAAACCCUCUAAAUAACAUUAAAAAGCAAAUGGCCACCUUGAAUAAUGUUUCCAACAUACCUUGCAGAUAUGAGAUUUAAAAUCUUAAUAUAUAGAUAAAAUAAAAAGAAGACUCUAAUAGGAAAUAGUAUGUAA